rnacentral:rRNA from 1 species
UACGGAGGGUGCGAGCGUUGUCCGGAAUCACUGGGCGUAAAGGGCGCGUAGGUGGCGCGACAAGUCAACGGUGAAAGCUCGGCGCUCAACGCCGAGUCGGCCGUCGAUACUGUUGGGCUUGAGCACUGUAGAGGCUAAUGGAAUUCCGGGUGUAGCGGUGGAAGUGCGUAGAGAUCCGGAAGAACACCGGUGGCGAAGGCGGUUAGCUGGGCAGUUGC